GUCCCCUACGGGGGGCGAGCCUGAACCAGCCAAGUCGCGUGAGGGAAGACGGUCCUAUGGAUUGUAAACCUCUUUUGUCGGGGAGCAAAAGACGCCACGCGUGGCGUUCCGAGAGUACCCGAAGAAAAAGCAUCGGCUAACUCCGUGCCAGCAGCCGCGGUAAUACGGAGGAUGCGAGCGUUAUCCGGAUUUAUUGGGUUUAAAGGGUGCGCAGGCGGAAGAUCAAGUCAGCGGUAAAAUUGAGAGGCUCAACCUCUUCGAGCCGUUGAAACUGGUUUUCUUGAGUGAGCGAGAAGUAUGCGGAA
rnacentral:rRNA from 1 species